AACGAACGCUGGCGGCAUGCCUAACACAUGCAAGUCGAACGAGACCUUCGGGUCUAGUGGCGCACGGGUGCGUAACGCGUGGGAACCUGCCCUUAGGUUCGGAAUAACUCCCCGAAAGGGGUGCUAAUACCGGAUAAUGUCUUCGGACCAAAGAUUUAUCGCCUUUGGAUGGGCCCGCGUUGGAUUAGCUAGUUGGUAGGGUAAAAGCCUACCAAGGCGACGAUCCAUAGCUGGUCUGAGAGGAUGAUCAGCCACACUGGGACUGAGACACGGCCCAGACUCCUACGGGAGGCAGCAGUGGGGAAUAGUGGACAAUGGGCGAAAGCCUGAUGCAGCAAUGCCGCGUGAGUGAUGAAGGCCUUAGGGUUGUAAAGCUCUUUUACCCGGGAUGAUAAUGACAGUACCGGGAGAAUAAGCUCCGGCUAACUACGUG
rnacentral:rRNA from 1 species